rnacentral:rRNA from 1 species
GAGUUUGAUCGUGGCUCAGAGCGAACGCUGGCGGCAGGCUUAACACAUGCAAGUCGAGCGCCGUAGCAAUACGGAGCGGCAGACGGGUGAGUAACACGUGGGAACGUGCCUUUUGGUUCGGAAUAACUCAGGGAAACUUGAGCUAAUACCGAAUAAGCCCUUCGGGGAAAGAUUAUCGCCGAAAGAUCGGCCCGCGUAAGAUUAGCUUGUUGGUGAGGUAACGGCUCACCAAGGCUACGAUCUUUAGCUGGUCUGAGAGGAUGAUCAGCCACAUUGGGACUGAGACACGGCCCAAACUCCUACGGGAGGCAGCAGUGGGGAAUAUUGGACAAUGGGCGCAAGCCUGAUCCAGCCAUGCCGCGUGAGUGAUGAAGGCCUUAGGGUUGUAAAGCUCUUUUAGCGGAGACGAUAAUGACGGUAUCCGCAAGAAAAAAG